GGGGUCACAGUUCAGUGGUAGAACACUUGCCUAGAAUGCAUGAGGCACUGGGUUCUAUCCCUGGCACCA
rnacentral:tRNA from 1 species